rnacentral:rRNA from 1 species
GUUGAAGGAUUUGGAAAAUUCCGCUAAAGAGGGUGAAAGCCCCGUAGACGAAAUGCUAACAACACCUAGGAGGAUCCUGAGUACGGCGGAACACGAGAAAUUCCGUCGGAAUCCGCGGGGACCAUCCCGCAAGGCUAAAUACUCCCUAGUGACCGAUAGUGAACCAGUACCGUGAGGGAAAGGUGAAAAGCACCCCGGAAGGGGAGUGAAAUAGAUCCUGAAACCGUGUGCCUACAACAAGUCAAAGCUCGUUAAUGAGUGAUGGCGUGCCUUUUGUAGAAUGAACCGGCGAGUUACGAUUGCAUGCGAGGUUAAGUCGAAGAGACGGAGCCGCAGCGAAAGCGAGUCUGAAUAGGGCGAAUGAGUAUGUAGUCGUAGACCCGAAACCAUGUGAUCUACCCAUGUCCAGGUUGAAGGUGCGGUAAAACGCACUGGAGGACCGAACCCACGUACGUUGAAAAGUGCGGGGAUGAGGUGUGGGUAGCGGAGAAAUUCCAAACGAACUUGGAGAUAGCUGGUUCUCUCCGAAAUAGCUUUAGGGCUAGCCUCGGAAUUGAGAAUGAUGGAGGUAGAGCACUGUUUGGACUAGGGGCCCAUCUCGGGUUACCGAAUUCAGAUAAACUCCGAAUGCCAUUCAUUUAUAUCCGGGAGUCAGACUGCGAGUGAUAAGAUCCGUAGUCGAAAGGGAAACAGCCCAGACCACCAGCUAAGGUCCCAAAAUAUAUGUUAAGUGGAAAAGGAUGUGGGGUUGCACAGACAACUAGGAUGUUGGCUUAGAAGCAGCCACCAUUUAAAGAGUGCGUAAUAGCUCACUAGUCGAGUGACCCUGCGCCGAAAAUGUACCGGGGCUAAACAUAUUACCGAAGCUGUGGACUACACCAUUAGGUGUAGUGGUAGGAGAGCGUUCUAAGGGCGUUGAAGGUCGAUCGUGAGGACGGCUGGAGCGCUUAGAAGUGAGAAUGCCGGUAUGAGUAGCGAAAGACAGGUGAGAAUCCUGUCCACCGUAUGACUAAGGUUUCCUGGGGAAGGCUCGUCCGCCCAGGGUUAGUCGGGACCUAAGCCGAGGCCGAUAGGCGUAGGCGAUGGACAACAGGUUGAUAUUCCUGUACCAGUUGUUUUUGUUUGAACAAUGGAGGGACGCAGUAGGCUAAGGAAUGCAUGCGAUUGGAAGUGCAUGUCCAAGCAAUGA